rnacentral:rRNA from 1 species
GACGAACGCUGGCGGCGUGCUUAACACAUGCAAGUCGAACGCUGAAGCUCAGCUUGCUGGGUGGAUGAGUGGCGAACGGGUGAGUAACACGUGAGUAACCUGCCCCCUUCUUUGGGAUAACGCCCGGAAACGGGUGCUAAUACUGGAUAUUCACUGAUCUUCGCAUGGGGGUUGGUGGAAAGGUUUUUUCUGGUGGGGGAUGGGCUCGCGGCCUAUCAGCUUGUUGGUGGGGUGAUGGCCUACCAAGGCUUUGACGGGUAGCCGGCCUGAGAGGGUGACCGGGCACAUUGGGACUGAGAUGCGGCCCAGACGCCUACGGGAGGCAGCAGUGGGGAAUAUUGCACAAUGGGCGAAAGCCUGAUGCAGCGACGCCGCGUGAGGGAUGGAGGCCUUCGGGUUGUAAACCUAUUUAGCUCAUGGUCAAGCCGCAACAUUGGUUGUGGUGAGGGUAGUGGGUAAAGAAGCGCCGGCUAACUACGUG